GAUGAACGCUGGCGGCGUGCCUAAUACAUGCAAGUCGAGCGAACAGACGAGGAGCUUGCUCCUCUGACGUUAGCGGCGGACGGGUGAGUAACACGUGGAUAACCUACCUAUAAGACUGGGAUAACUUCGGGAAACCGGAGCUAAUACCGGAUAAUAUAUUGAACCGCAUGGUUCAAUAGUGAAAGACGGUUUUGCUGUCCCUUAUAGCUGGAUCCGCGCCGCAUUAGCUAGUUGGUAAGGUAACGGCUUACCAAGGCAACGAUGCGUAGCCGACCUGAGAGGGUGAUCGGCCACACUGGAACUGAGACACGGUCCAGACUCCUACGGGAGGCAGCAGUAGGGAAUCUUCCGCAAAGGGCGAAAGCCUGACGGAGCAACGCCGCGUGAGUGAUGAAGGUCUUCGGAUCGUAAAACUCUGUUAUUAGGGAAGAACAAAUGUGUAAGUAACUAUGCACGUCUUGACGGUACCUAAUCAGAAAGCCACGGCUAACUACGUG
rnacentral:rRNA from 1 species